ensembl:snRNA U6 U6 spliceosomal RNA
GUGCUUUCUUCAGCAGCACAUAUAUUAAAAUUGGAAUGAUAGAAAGAAGAUUAGCAUGGCUCCUGCACAAACAUGACACCCAAAUUCGUGAAGUGUUCCAAAUUUUU